UAGGGAAUCUUCCGCAAUGGACGCAAGUCUGACGGAGCAACGCCGCGUGAGUGAAGAAGGAUUUCGGUUCGUAAAACUCUGUUGUUAGAGAAGAACAGCGCAUAGAGUAACUGUUAUGCGUGUGACGGUAUCUAACCAGAAAGCCACGGCUAACUACGUGCCAGCAGCCGCGGUAAUACGUAGGUGGCAAGCGUUGUCCGGAUUUAUUGGGCGUAAAGCGAGCGCAGGCGGUCAAUUAAGUCUGAUGUGAAAGCCCCCGGCUCAACCGGGGAGGGUCAUUGGAAACUGGUUGACUUGAGUGCAGAAGAGGAGAGUGGAAUUCCAUGUGUAGCGGUGAAAUGCGUAGAUACAUGGAGGAACACCAGUGGCGAAGGCGACUCUCUGGUCUGUAACUGACGCUGAGGUUCGAAAGCGUGGGUAGCAAACAGG
rnacentral:rRNA from 1 species